rnacentral:rRNA from 2 species
GAUUUCUGGCUUGGUUCGCCUGGCCCGCCACGGUUACGUGUGUGAGUGCCGGUGUGGAUCUGCCAUCACUUCUAGGUCACAUUCAUACUCUUCAUUGAGCCGUGAAUGCGUAUCUAGAUCUUUUACUUUGAAAAAAUUAGAGUGUUUCAAGCAGGCUUUUGCUAUGAAUACAUUAGCAUGGAAUAAUAAUUUAGGACUUCGGUUCUAUUUUGUUGGUUUCUAGAAUGGAAGUAAUGAUUGAUAGGGAUAGUUGGGGGUGCUAGUAUUCAGCGGCCAGAGGUGAAAUUCUCGGAUUCGCUGAAGACUAACUUAUGCGAAAGCAUU